rnacentral:lncRNA from 1 species
GAGCCCCACUUAUGGGUCUGUGUGGGUCACAGCCCCACUUAUGGGGCAGAGCCCCACUUAUGGGUCAGUCUGUGUGGGUUAAUGCCCUACUUAUGGGUCAGAUCCCACUUAUGGGUCACAGCCCCACUUGUGGGGCAGAGCCCCACUUAUGGGGCAGAGCCUCACUUGUGGGUCAGUCUGUGUGGGUCAAAGCCCCACUUAUGGGGCAGAGCCCCACUUAUGGGUCUGUGUGGGUUAAUGCCCUACUUAUGGGGCAGAGCCCCACUUAUGGGUCUGUGUGGGUCACAGCCCUACUUAUGGGGCAGAGCCCCACUUAUGGGUCAGUCUGUGGGGGGUGAUGCUGUGGGGCAGCGUCAUGGAGUGUUGCUAUGGGGCAGAACUGUGGGGCAGGGCACAACUUAUGGGGCAGAGCUCCACUUAUGGGGCAGAGCCUUACUUAUGGGUCAGUCUGUGUGGGUCACAGCCUUACUUAUGGGUCAGGGCCCCAUUUGUGGGUCAAAGCCCCACUUGUGGGGCAGAGACCCGCUUAUGGGGCAAAGCCUCACUUAUGGGGCAGAGCCCCACUUAUGGGUCAGUCUGUGUGGGUCAGAGCCUCACUUAUGGGGCAGAGCCCCACUUGUGGGUCAGUCUGUGUGGGUCAGAGCCCCACUUAUGGGGCAGAGCCCACUUAUGGGUCAGUCUGUGUGGAUUAAUGCCCUACUUAUGGGGCACAGCCCCACUUGUGGGUCUGCGUGGGUCAGAACCUCACUUAUGGGGCAGAGCCGCACUUAUGGGUCACAGCCCCACUUAUGGGUCACAGCCCCACUUAUGGGGCAGAGCCCCACUUAUGGGUCUGAGCCUCACUUGUGGGUCAGUCUGUGUGGGUUAAUGCCCUACUUAUGGGUCAGAUCCCACUUGUGGGUCAGAUCCCACUUAUGGGUCAGGGCCCCACUUAUGGGUCACAGCCCCACUUAUGGGGCAGAGCUCCACUUGUGGGUCACACCUCCAUUUAUGGGUCACAGCCCCUGUGACCUAUGGGGCAAAGGCUGACCUAUGGGGCAGAGACGCAGCUAUGGGGCAGAGAUCCUCAUCUAUGGGGCGGAGACCCAUCUAUGGGGCAGAGACCCUCAUCUAUGGGGCAGAGAUCCUCAUCUAUGGGGUGGAGGCUCUGACCUGC